rnacentral:rRNA from 1 species
UACGGAGGAUGCGAGCGUUAUCCGGAUUUAUUGGGUUUAAAGGGUGCGUAGGCGGUCCGUUAAGUCAGCGGUAAAAUUGCGGGGCUCAACCCCGGCCUGCCGUCGGAACUGGGUGCCUUGAGUGGGCGAGAAGUAUGCGGAAUGCGUGGUGUAGCGGUGAAAUGCAUAGAUAUCACGCAGAACCCCGAUUGCGAAGGCAGCUUACCAAACUAUAUCUGACGUUGAGGCACGAAAGCGUGGGGAGCAAACAGG